CUGGUAGUCCACGCCCUAAACGAUGAAUGUUAGUCGUCGGGUAGCUAGUCUAUUCGGUGAUGCAGCUAACGCAUUAAACAUUCCGCCUGGGGAGUACGGUCGCAAGAUUAAAACUCAAAGGAAUAGACGGGGACCCGCACAAGUGGUGGAGCAUGUGGUUUAAUUCGAAGAUACGCGAAGAACCUUACCUAGCCUUGACAUAUAUUAGAACACCCUAGAGAUAGAGUGGUGCCUUCGGGAGCUUUUAUACAGGUGCUGCACGGCUGUCGUCAGCUCGUGUCGUGAGAUGUUGGGUUAAGUCCCGCAACGAGCGCAACCCUCGUCACUAGUUACUAACGGUUCGGCCGAGGACUCUAGUGAGACUGCCUUCGUAAGGAGGAGGAAGGUGAGGACGACGUCAAGUCAUCAUGGCCCUUACGGCUAGGGCAACACACGUACUACAAUGGCCAGGACAAUGAGACACGAUACCGCGAGGUGGAGCAAAUCUAUAAACCUGGUCUCAGUUCGGAUUGUAGUCUGCAACUCGACUACAUGAAGCUGGAAUCACUAGUAAUCGUAGAUCAGCUAUGCUACGGUGAAUACGUUCCCGGGUCUUGUACACACCGCCCGUCACA
rnacentral:rRNA from 1 species